GUGUAAGACACCAUCUCAAAAAAAAAAAAAAAAAAAAAAAAAAGAUUAGUAUGGCCCCUGUCCAAGGAUGACACACAAAUUUGUAAAGUAUUCCAUAGUUUU